rnacentral:rRNA from 1 species
UCCCUGGUGACAAUAGCGCUGUGGCACCACCCGAUCCCAUUCCGAACUCGGAAGUGAAACGCAGCCGCGCCGAUGGUAGUGUGCAUCCGCAUGCAAGAGUAGGUCAUCGCCAGGGCCUUA